UUCUCUUUUUCCAGUAUGCUCCUGAGUUCAUCUUUCUUUUAAAGCAGUGCUGACCAAGUUGAGGUAUUACACAUAAUCAAUUGGCAUGUGGUUUGCACAUUUUUUUUUUGCACUGGAAGAAUGUGGACAUGAAUUCCUGACUAUCUCAGUGUGUAAAAUCCUCAACAUACAAAUCUACGUAAAGUGCAAUCAUCAAAUCACGGUGUACUGCAUUGCUGCAGGAGCUGUAUAUAUGGACGUGAAGCACAUAUUAGUGCUAGGGGCAGUCAAGUACAAAUAGCACUAUAACACAGAGAGUACUCAGUGCUAUAAUAGAACAAAGAGCAAAGUCAUCCAGGAACAACACAGGAUGAAGAAACCAAAAGCAGAAUGGUUAAGUACCUUACAACCCCCCAUUUAGUAAGUGAAGGGGACAUAUUUGAAUGAACACAGGUAGCAUGUUCCAGAAACCUAUGGGGCAGCUUGAGAGGCAUCGCUUCGAUUUCCCUCCAAGAAAGUUGGCUGUUUGGCCGCAAGAAACACAGUUGGCUGACAGUGCCUCAUUACAAUAUCUAAAUUUUUGAACCAAUGUUACACUCUUCCCAGGCUUUCCCCAGCCAAUGAGGAGCAUGACAGAGAUGCUGGAGUCUGGCAUUUCUACCUAUUGUGAGUCUGCUCUAUGGGUAAUUUUGCUCCAAAGCUCCUUUGGCCAGAUGAGAAUGUGACAGAAUUCUAUAUCAGUUUAAGACUUUCUUCUCUUUUCACAGAAGACAGAUCUGGAUUGCAUUCUGAAGCCUCUUCCUGCACACCCCCUCCCUCCCUAAUUAAACUUCUGCAUUCCUAAAUCCAGUUCAUGGUCUGUUUCCCAGAGACACAACUCAGACACAGUCACUCUCAAUUACUCUGUGAUGAUGACUCCAAGAAAACACAGAAAAAAUGAAUUUGUGACUUAAUGAAAUUAACAAUGUGUUUUAUAUACUAUAUGCCAAACACUAUGCUAAAUGUUUUCUAUUUACAUUGUAUGUUCCUUAAGUGCUUAACAAACCUUAAAUGGUUAUAUGUAUUUUUUUUCAGAAUUACAGAUGAAGAAAACUUCUAAAAGCUAAGAAACUCACUCAAACCAAUAAACAAAACAGAAUUAAGAUUCACAUCCAUGUGUUCUUGAGUCCAUUACGACACCAAUUUUAAAAUAAA